AUUGAACGCUGGCGGCAUGCCUUACACAUGCAAGUCGAACGGUAACAGGUCUUCGGAUGCUGACGAGUGGCGAACGGGUGAGUAAUACAUCGGAACGUGCCCGAUCGUGGGGGAUAACGAGGCGAAAGCUUUGCUAAUACCGCAUACGAUCUACGGAUGAAAGCGGGGGAUCUUCGGACCUCGCGCGGACGGAGCGGCCGAUGGCAGAUUAGGUAGUUGGUGGGAUAAAAGCUUACCAAGCCGACGAUCCGUAGCUGGUCUGAGAGGAUGAUCAGCCACACUGGGACUGAGACACGGCCCAGACUCCUACGGGAGGCAGCAGUGGGGAAUUUUGGACAAUAGGCGAAAGCCUGAUCCAGCCAUGCCGCGUGCAGGAUGAAGGCCUUCGGGUUGUAAACUGCUUUUGUACGGAACGAAAAGCCUCUUUCUAAUAAAGAGGGGUCAUGACGGUACCGUAAGAAUAAGCACCGGCUAACUACGUG
rnacentral:rRNA from 1 species